AUAAUCGUCACACGAGCAUUUAAGCACCUUUUGCGAACCUGUCUGUCUGGAACAAAGCACGAAAGCGUGAGGUGAUAGCUUUUCAAGGGCGCCGCUGCGCUUUCGGAGCGCGGCAGUUACAGGAGCCCUGCCUGUGCUCUCUGCUUUGGGUGGGUGUGACCGCUUAGCGCAAACCCUUAAGGGGAAAGUCGUGGUUAUACCAUUGAAGGCUGUGAAUGACUAGUGCUUAGAGAAAGCAGAACUCCGAGGGAAUGACCAGCGAGAAAAACACCUCCUGACAGUAAGCUUCACAAAACCACUAAAAUGUGCACGCCGAGAGUCUGUUAGAGCAGUGUGUAUGCGUUCAUGCCAUUUCCUCUCGAGUUUAUUCAACACUGCUCUGCACUAUAAAAUCAGAUCCAACUACUGUUACCACAACCAGAGCUUACCCACCGGUAUGAAGGGUGUAAACUUACGAACAGCAAGCAAAUGCCUGCGCAAGAUGGAAAUGGAGGAAAACCAGGCUUCCUAUAAGAUAUUCAAUAUCAGAAGAUAUCUGGAGUGAAUGGAGCGAAGCCAUUGUCUGCUGGAGAAAAUAUACUGUAAAAUAUGACUGAAAUCCUGGAGAGCACAGCUCGCCUUGAUUAUUUUGGGUCCGUGGAGUGCAGAAAGGGUGGGACUCCCGGUGGAUGUAGAAAGACUUCCAAGCCUUGGUGUCACCCAGGAAUCAUCCCCAGCAAAGCAACCCUCGGAGACGGCGAGAUCCUGAGAACUUGGCCAGUCAUCUUGUGAGGGUGACGGAGGGCUGGAGUGGAGACAGCAGACUGCCACCUGUGAUACAGUCUCACCAUGCAAACUCCUGUUGACGAGCGAGUAUGGACUCUUGCUCCCCCACACAACACGCCUGCCUCCGCCGCCGAGAGCACACACCGACUCAAACGUCACAAGCCGGCGCUGAUUAAGUCUGGUAUUUCAGAGGAGCUGAGUGUUUUCUACAUCAGGCGUGGGGGAGCUCCAGCCUGCUGUCUCUGACAUCGGCCACCUUUUCCUCAAAACCCUCUCGUGUAGGGGGUGUCCCUCGCUAUUGGUCCUAAAAAGCCACAGUCCUGAUGGUUUUAUAGGGAACUCAACAUCCUCAAAUGCUAAAGACUCAGUGCUGGAAUUAAAACCAAACAGGGCAAUACUGGAAUUAGUGUGGCCUUCCAGGACCAGGAGUGACGAUCACUGAUGUUGGCGAUCAAUAUUGAAUGUAUAAAAAUUAAUAUCUGUUGUAAUCAAAUACCAUUUUAGUGUACUGUGGGUGUCCUUUCCAGCAUUUAGAAUUCAGAGACCUAUGAAAUACUAUUAUAACACAACCUCCUUUUAAAGUUAAUUGUUGUGUUUAAAAUGAUAUUAACUCCUGCCUUUGUUUCCACACUCUGAUUGAAGGGCUGAGAGAUCUUAUCAGUUGAAAGGACUGUAAAUUAAUAAUCUGUGUAUUAUCUGCAUUAGUACUAAAAUUAAAGCUACCUCAAAUAAUCUAUAUUAGUUUUAAUGCAUCACAACUCUAUUGUUGUUUUCAAAAGGUAAAGAUAACAGUAUGUUGACUAAUUAAGAGCUCAUAUGUGUUGGAUUAGGUAAAAAUAGAUGUAUAUUUAGUUUAAAAGGCAAAUGAUUGUGUGUACAGUGGAAAUCUGAACAUAAAAUAUACCAGGCUUAUCUAAAUAUACUGUAUGCAUGUGUCAAACCCAGAACCUUUAGGACAUGAAUUCAGAAUUUGUCCUUGAAGGUUUUCACCUUAAUUUGUGCACCUUAACAUAUUUAAGAUUUUUCUUAGAUAAGGUUAAGGUUUUAGAUCAGGUGUGAGACACUCAUUUUCUGAAAGGGCUGCAGAAUCCUCCACUUUUUCUUCCAAAUUUGGUCUCGUUUGGUCUCAUUAAUUGAUGUGAUAAUUAAGAAAUUGCUUCCCUGUAUCUGCAGUAUACAAAGAACUGGGGAAAUGGGGUUAAACUGAUUAAGUUAAACUACUAAUUAGCUCAAUUAGCUAAGAGCAUGGGAGGAAUGAAACACGACAGCCUCUACGGCUCUCCAAGACAAGAGCAGUUUAUGAAUGAAUUCAGAUCACAAAGACUUACCCAUAUAGCAAAGGGUUAAAACUACAGUUUUGUCAGAUGAGCUUGAUCCACGUUACAGUUGCAAUAAAGCUGCAUCAGGUCUGGCUUGACGUAUUCACUUGUUCCACUUAAAUAAUUACCCGUGUUCCAUCUGCCGACUCUGGUUUUAGACACAAUACCUAAGAAAUGCUCAGAGGCCGGGAUAGACAAAUGUUGCCCUUUGACUCAAAUAAUGCGAUAAAGUAAGAGAGCUACAAUGAGGAUGCAGUCCUGGUAGCCACGGAAAGAGACA